rnacentral:misc_RNA from 1 species
CAGCUAUGUGGAUUUCUCGAGUCAAUGAUGAUGGAUUAGUGGUGCUUCGCUGUUGAUAAUUUAAUUAUUGUUAUAGUUAUUAUUACGAUCGUCGUCGUCAUAACUUCGUUAGAUACAAGGACCACACACUGUGAUACCGCUGGAGUAAUGGCCAUGUAACUAUUGUUAUAUCGCGUCGACGACUAAUAAACAAUAGUCAAUUUGAUGGCAAAAAUAAUACGCGUUGAAUGGUAGAUGUAUGUAUUGAUACAUAUGCCAUUGUUUCAUUUGUUCAUCAUUAUACAGAGAACUAACGAUACAUGCCAUAUGCGACUCAAAAAAUUGACAUUGCGCGUACCAAAUGUAUCGGUAUCAUAUCGUACUAUGGAUGUCGAAUCGCUGGCGGGGUUAAAGUUUGUGCUCCUGUAAUCUUGGCACGAUUAAAUAAAUUGACUUAUGUAAAUAGAAUAACGAAACGCGAGCAUCAUUUUGUUCAACGUACCUUCUGGUAUACAAAAGGCCUUGUAAGUGCGAGCCAUCUUUCGACCGCCAUUACGAUUCCUACGCAUCCGCUGUAGAGGCCGAAGAAUCUCCAGGCGACUCUUAGGGAGCAGAAAAAUCUCGUGGUCGCUGCGUCGUCAACGUACAUUGUAAGAUACAUCUGUACUAACAUUCCUAAUAACGCCACCAGAUCAUUCGUUGCGAGACAACGCAGCAUCAGCAGAUGUUUACGAUUUCUUCUCUGCAAAAAUAAAAUAUAUACGCGAAACUUUGAAAUUGCUGUUGAAUCGCUUAUCGGUAGAUGAAUGAUUUAAUUAUGCGAUAUCUCUUGUUUAUAAUGGAUUGAACCUGUAAAAUUGAACCAUAACAUGAAACCACACUAUUGUCUGCGUUGUAACGUCCAUUAAAAGUUUGGCCUACUGGAAUCCACAGGAAAAUAAAAACAAUGAUAAUGAAAAAAUAAUAAUUAUAAUUAAGUCGAAUCGCAAAUUAGAUUGUUCUUUCUGAAAAAAUAAUGUUCCUACGGCGUUGCAGGAAGUAUAAUAAGCUCAAUUUUUUUUCACCUUGUCCCGGACAAAGAGAAUGACCAGAGCGGACACGCUCCCCAUCACACCCGUCAGAUAAACAAUCGUGAGAACGAUUUGUGAGACAACUGUAACAUGUCUUCGAGUCGCGGGUCCAGGUAAGUUGAUCUCCGCUAUCGCUGUUGAGUUUACAUCGAUUGCGAUAGUGGAAGAGAAGUUCUCGCCGAUCUCAUGUACACUCGAUUGGAUAAUAUGGUUCAAAUUUACUUCCAUUUCGAUUUGGUGUUUCUCUCCGGUGAUAUUUGUAUCAACACCGUGGCAAAGCUGCAACCGCCCGCGUCAGGAAGACUGCAAUAUUAUACAAUACGUCUAUAUGUAUGUAUACAUUACAUACGUAUAUGCACAUACGGCCAUACUGAUUUCUAGAGCAGGAAUCGCAUGAUUUGACAAUUUUGUUGGAUUAUUCAUAGUCAUUUAUUUUGGCUAACAAUAAGAUCGAGGCCUUGUUUCACGGGAAAUUUUCAUACGAUGUUGUAUUAAUAAUAAUGUCAA